rnacentral:misc_RNA from 1 species
AUCUGCGCUCUCGGUGUCCCCGUGGCGUCUCUCGUCAGUCUCUGUGGUGUGCAUGUGAGUACGCGCAGGGAGCACUUGUAAACCGCCCCGCUUGCCGCCAAUUGCGACAGAACUGCGCUGCGUUUUUCAAAAUAAAGGAUACACACUGCCGCUAAACACGCGUCACAGGCACUAACAGCAGACUUGAUGCAGAUGACGCACAGAAAAAUCAAAGUUGUCCUCAGCGGCGGAUGCGAGCUGCUCUUCGACAAGGAGGUGAAUAUCCCCUUGGCAGAUGUGGUGCCUGUUGGCGCGACCGUCGCACAGUUGAUUGACUUGCUGCGGCGCGGCUACGUCAAGGAGCGACCGGAGCUGUUCGUCGACGCCACUGGCGCAAAUGUGCGUCCUGGCAUUCUGGUGCUGGUGAACGGAUGUGAUGCCGAGGUGCUCGGCGGCGUAGAGCACGUCUUGGAAGACGGCGACGAGGUGGAGUUUGUAUCUACUCUGCACGGCGGCUGAGGAUGUGAAGGAAGUGUUUGGUUUACUCCGCCACAUGAACACGGGCGUGCGCAUGUAUAUGUGUGCCUCCGAGUCUGUAUGAGCACGAGCUGCGCGCGCGUGUGGUUGCUCACUUGCUGUGCACUCUUUGCGAUUUGUUUCGAGUAAGCGUCUUGUGGAAAGUCACCGAGGACACGCGACCACUUCUCGAUGCAGAUGCCCAGGAAUACAAUCCGGCACCUAUAUGUAGAGGAGCGCGCGCGAGAGUCAACAACCUUUGACGUCGAUAGGCAUGCAAACGUGUCACUUCCUUUCUUGGCAGCCGCCCGUACAGCGGCACCGUUGGACGAGCUCCAGGCGCGCACCUCCCGCUGCUCUAGCCAUCAUGCUCGGAGUAGUUGUACUGCAUCAUCGCCUUUGUUUUCACGUCCGUGCCACCACCUGUUUUUCGCUUGCUCUUCGUUGCCACCAUUGUGCAAG